rnacentral:rRNA from 1 species
GACGAACGCUGGCGGCGUGCUUAACACAUGCAAGUCGAACGGUAAGGCCCUUCGGGGUACACGAGUGGCGAACGGGUGAGUAACACGUGGGUGAUCUGCCCUGCACUUCGGGAUAAGCCUGGGAAACUGGGUCUAAUACCGGAUAGGACCACUGCCUACAUGGGUGGUGGUGGAAAGCUUUUGCGGUGUGGGAUGGGCCCGCGGCCUAUCGGCUUGUUGGUGGGGUGAUGGCCUACCAAGGCGACGACGGGUAGCCGGCCUGAGAGGGUGACCGGCCACACUGGGACUGAGAUACGGCCCAGACUCCUACGGGAGGCAGCAGUGGGGAAUAUUGCACAAUGGGCGCAAGCCUGAUGCAGCGACGCCGCGUGAGGGAUGACGGCCUUCGGGUUGUAAACCUCUUUCAGCACCGACGAAGCGCAAGUGACGGUAGGUGCAGAAGAAGGACCGGCCAACUACGUGCCAGCAGCCGCGGUAA